rnacentral:rRNA from 1 species
CAACUUGGGAUCGGCGGAGGGAGAGGAAAGGGGUGAAGAGACAGCGGAGAGGAGGGCACCGUAAGCCGGUCGGCGGCGGCGGCGGCGCGCUGGAGACGAGGAGGGGCCGAAGCUUGAGUCCGGCGGCGAGGCAGGGGGCAGGGGCAGCGUGGAGGGGAGCUCGGCGGCCGACCGGGAGAGGGUGAGCAGGAAGAGGGACGAGGGUAAGGAGGGAGCGCCCUUGGGAUCGGCGGCGGGAGAGGGUGAGCAGGAGGAGGGGCGAGGGGAAGGACCGCCGCGUGGGCUGGCGGCGCGCUGGAGACGAGGAGGGGCCGCAGCUUGAGUCCGGCGGCGAGGCAGGGGGCAGGGGCAGCGUGGAGGGGAGCUCUACGGCCGACCGCGAGAGGGAAGUGGCCUCCUCAACCCACUCUGGCACUCCUCGCCUCCGCCACCGAACAACGUCUGCGACAACGCCGAGGGAAAAGAAGGAGCGGCAGAAGAAGCGGAGGGAGGAGACUGGGUCCAUUACGCCGGUCGGGAGCAGUUGGGGCCGAUCGCCUAAGUAAUCGGAAGAUGAGGUUAGGGAUGGGGCUCUAGGUAGCAGCAACACAACAACGGCCACUCUCGACCCUCCUUCUCUCCCUCCGUUUCCCUACCUCUAUCUGUACCCUUCCUCUUUCCCAGAAAGAGACAACUAGAGGAAAAACACUGCAUCAUACCAUCCUUUAAAUAGGUAGGUGGGCACCACUCUUGAACAACAGCGACCACGAUUUUACCACAACGACGUCGUCUGUUUACGGUACCUAGUUCACGGUAAGUCUACAACGUCCUCAGUUCACACACAUUUGGCAUUUCUAAUCUGGUUACCUAUAGUUUCUUUUCCUCGAGCUGGUCCAUAAAGUGGUAGAACACGAUGUGGCAGUACAUACAAGUGGUGAUACUACAUAUAAAUGAAAUGUAAGCAGGUACUACUUAGAGUCGCCUAUAAACCAUACGUGAAUAUAGAUUGAGGUUUGGUUAAACAAAACUAUAUUUCGAAACUACAAAUAAUCCACUUCAAGAACAAACAACCCAACGAUUGUUUAACGUCGACACACGACGUGGCGACCAUAGAAAUUAAGGAACGAGAUCGUAACUAUAUUUCGAAACUAUAAAUAAUCCACUUCAAAUGAGACAUACGUGUUCUUCAAUUGACGCCAUAUUAAGAAUUUGUGAAGCAAAAUAGUACAUACGUCGUAACUAUACCGAUACGUUACAAUCGGGUUUUAUCCGUCGUCACGUCAUAUGAUUACACUUUAGAAUAGUAAGACCCCGACGUGAAGGACACCACAAAUCUGAGAGUAAUAAAGGGGUAUACAAUGUAUAUAUAUUUAUACGAUUUGGUCUGGAUGGAUAUAUGGUUAUCUUCAUGUGAGUAACACACUCCUCGAGACAUAUAACGAGUGAACCUUUCAUAUCCUAUGAAGAAAAAGGAUGUGAAUUAUAAAUAGGAAGAUCUAGGUCUCGUAAUAAUCCGUCAUUAGAAUUUUGUAUCAAAGAUCUCAAUUAAAACAUAAAGAACCAUUAUUGAAAUAUAAUCCGGACGUUUGAUUGAUGAUAACGUUGAUACGUUGUAGUCCUCGUGUGGGAUAGUCGAAUUUAGUGUUCCGUACCUUUCAAUCACACAAAGGGCCUUAUAACAACCAAAACAAUUUAUCUACCGGGAGAAUCGUACCGAUACCAAUCAUGAGUUCUGUCAGAAAGGGGAGUUCUCUAGUACGUUCUCAAAUAAAACUUUUUUAUACUACAGAAAGGGGACUUCCUAAUAAUACAGAAAGUUUAGCUAGUACAAGACCGACAAUACCGUAUAAUGUCUAGUAUGUACCAGAGUAAACGACGUUCCUCGGAAUUAUUACGGGAACCAGUAUACAAUUAUUUAAAUUGUACAUAAUGUUUUUCUAUCGUACAUCCAACUACUAUCACACAAAGUUUUAUCUAUGAAUCUUAUUAUCACAUGGUAGUUUUAUUAUCGAACCAGAAUGUGAAUGGUCCAGUGAACCAGUUUUAGGUCACACAUGUAGUGAAAAAACAAGAGUCAUUCAAAGAUCGUAAAGAUGUACGUAAAGAAACAUCGGAUCCGUAUCAUUUGGUAACUACGAUAAGGUUUGUGUUCGAGUUCGUUCAAGUCAUCUAAUAAUUAAAAAUAAUCAUAUUAGUCGUACUCUAUCUCGAACUAAAGUAGUGAACCAAAUGACACACGUAUAAAGGUACGUCCAUGGUAAGUAUAGGAUCUUCAACAUCGAAGGUCGGAAAAUCAUUGAUGUGUUUUGAUGGUUUCGAAGUCUCGGUAGUACCUUAGUGGUGGCCAGGAGGGAACGACUUCAGUACCUCCCCGUCGGCCAUGGCCACCCACUCCUCUAGGUGCUGACCUGUCGUAGUACAAGACAAAUUUGGAUACGGAGGGGACCCUUAGUGAUAGCCAGGAGGAAACGAGUUCAGUACCUCCCCGUCGGCCAUGGCCACCCACACCUCUAGGUGCUGACCUGUCGCGUCUGCGGGUCUACCGCUCCUUCUGCUCAGUAACAGCGACGGUUGGAGGCGGAGACGGGGGUGUGGGGACUGCGCUCGAAACGGAGGAGACGGCGACGACGUAGAAGAGGUCACGGAGUGGGGGUAGCCUGAGCAGACGGAGGGACAGUACGUCCACGAGGAGCGCACCGGUACGAAAGUUGGAGAGAGAGAUAGAGACAACACACGUAGAGGGAGUUAUCGGUGACCUACAAAAUAGACCAGGUAACACUCUAAACGGUAUGUACUAAUCAUUAUUGUCAUCCAAUUAAACUACCCGUAUUCGUAAUCACUCCACUUUAUACAUCUCAAACCUAACUAAAUGUCCAAGAAGAUUACUUGUGUGACUCUACCCGCAUCUAAAAGACAAGCCAUACGCUAGUAUACCAUUCGCACAAAUAAAACAACCCGUGGGCACAGGAAACGAGGUACGUUCUUUAAAGAAUAAAGAAACAGACUACAUAAACUUUUUAGUUACACUCUCUACUCAAAACCCACUAACAGAUGUAUAUCACAAGAACGUAGAAUCACACUCAACGCAGCCUACCAUAACAAAAGAGUUCCCUUAUUUAAGUAUACGAACCAUUCUUUUACAAGUUAGAUGUACGUGGUACUCAAUUUUCUAUUGAAACUACUCAGUCUAUCUACAUCAUACUAGGUGUUGGUAUCAAGACUAGGUGUGUUACGUACUAUAGUGAAAUCGGACUCAGAACACCAAUCAUGAACGAUGAAGAGGGACUUUAUCUUAAGUAUGGCUGUGAAACAUACCAACCAAUGUUUCUCGGUGUUAACAUGGUCCUUUAGAUCUUUGGGUUGACCUAUACGGUUUUUUAUGGUUAAGGAUCUUGCAGUGUAUCACUAACUUAAACGCCGUAAUUUAUGUAAGUGACACGACCUUCAUGUAAUGGGACACAUAUCAUUUUCCUCAUGAGAUUUAUGGUCAUCACAAUACGUUUACUUAAACUGUAGAAGGCAGAGGUGUAGUCCAGAUAGAAGAAUUCAUACAGACAGUUUAUUUGUUGUGUACACGAUGAGGUCCCGUUUCUCACCACGCUCGAUUAAAUGUAUAAAAGGAUACAGUACUACGUGAAAGGAAUGUGUGUGGUUGAUUGAAGUUGAAAGGAUACUUGGAUAGCUUAUACUUCACACAGGAUGGCUCAACCUAUUUUGAUAGUGACGUAACAUUUAUUCAAUCGAGAAAGAGAGACCAAACAAUCAAGAUACUUUUAUAUAACAAUAUAGAAUUCGGACAAUAAAAUCAGAGAGAAAGAGAAACCACAGUAUUACUAUACUUGAAGAUAAAACGACGUUCUAACCUCUCUAGGAAAAAUUUGAGUUGGACACAGUAUUCGAUGAACCAAGGAAGAGUAAUGAACCUCCUACGUACCUAACCUCUCUAAUACCUACUCCUGACUUAAUACACAUACGUACUAUAGAAAAUUAAAACCAGUAGACACAUCGAUACUAUAGAAUCUUCUCAGGGUCACACAUAUAAAACCACUAGACAUAGUAUUAUUCCUUCGUUUAACUUAAUAUGUCGCAGUUUCGGGUAGCAGACGUUACAAUACGUCAAGGAAAACUACCUUUUAAAAUCAAACAACACAUAAAGAUUACCUGCGCUAAUACUUACUCUUGACUUAUUACACAUAGAUACUACAAGAAUAAGGACACUGAGUAGUAGACCUCUAUUAACAUUUACUUACUAAUUAGUACCCAAAGAAAACCAUUGUAUGACUUUGAAGUG